rnacentral:rRNA from 1 species
UACAGAGGGUGCUAGCGUUGCUCGGAAUCACUGGGCGUAAAGGGUGCGUAGGCGGGUCUUUAAGUCAGGGGUGAAAUCCUGGAGCUCAACUCCAGAACUGCCUUUGAUACUGAAGAUCUUGAGUUCGGGAGAGGUGAGUGGAACUGCGAGUGUAGAGGUGAAAUUCGUAGAUAUUCGCAAGAACACCAGUGGCGAAGGCGGCUCACUGGCCCGAUACUGACGCUGAGGCACGAAAGCGUGGGGAGCAAACAGG